CCCAGCCCUACACAUCAGUGGUUCUCAGCCCUGGCUGCACAUUGGAAUCACCUGCAGGCUUUUAAAACCCACAAUGCCCAGGCUUUACCUCCCAGAGACUCUGAUUUAAUAGUGCAGGUCAGUCAAAGGGAGCACCAUUUGAAAGUAGGAUGGAUGGAUAAUUGAGCAAAAGAAUACAUUCUGGUCACCAAAACAAUGUGAAGUGAAACUCCAAGGAACAGCCUGGUAGAGUAUCGACAGUUGGGGAAAAAAAAGACAGGAGAGACACAUUUGCUGCCUCCCAAUGCUCGGAGAUCAUCGCACAGGAAGCAGCAGGAUGCUGGGGCAGGCUUGCCCAGUGAUGACCUGAACCAGGGACCACAAGGAACCAAGAGCUGCCAGAAGACAAAAGAGCUCAGAGGGAUGGAGGCCAGGGGAAAACUGAGAUGUGGGAGUAGGAAGACAACUCCACCCCACCACCACUAAAUACAGGAGCACGUGACCCUUAAGAAGACCGGG
rnacentral:lncRNA from 1 species